GAUGAACGCUUGCGGCAGGCUUAACACAUGCAAGUCGAGGGGUAGUCUAGCAAUAGAUGAGACCGGCGCACGGGUGCGUAACGCGUAUGCAAUCUACCUUAUACAGAGGGGUAGCCCAGAGAAAUUUGGAUUAAUACCUCAUAGUAUAAUUGAAUGGCAUCAUUUAAUUAUUAAAGUUCCAACGGUAUAAGAUGAGCAUGCGUCCUAUUAGCUAGAUGGUAAGGUAACGGCUUACCAUGGCAACGAUAGGUAGGGGUCCUGAGAGGGAGAUCCCCCACACUGGUACUGAGACACGGACCAGACUCCUACGGGAGGCAGCAGUGAGGAAUAUUGGACAAUGGGCGCAAGCCUGAUCCAGCCAUGCCGCGUGCAGGAAGAAGCAUCUAUGGUGUGUAAACUGCUUUUGUACGGGAAGAAACACUCCUUCGUGAAGGAGCUUGACGGUACCGUAAGAAUAAGGAUCGGCUAACUCCGUGCCAGCCGCCGCCGUAACAC
rnacentral:rRNA from 1 species